UCUAUUUAUUAUAUGUAAAAGAAGAAAAAUAUGGCUGAAAAUUUUAAAUUCGUUUAUGCUUUGAUCAUCUUUAUUUCUCUAAUUAUUUUUGCAACCAGCUAUGACAGUAAGUUUUUUUUCACUAAAAGUUUUUCUUUUCAUAUACAUAAUUGUCAUCUCUUUUUAAUAAUAUUCGUUUAUUCUUAUUUGACAUUAAUUGCAGAUAAAUUCUUUUGCUAUACCGACGAUGAUUGUGAUUCCAAUAUAUGUCGAUUUCCUUUCGUUAAGAAGUGUCGUAUGUUUCUGUGUUACUGCGACCUAGAGAAACAUUAAGUUGAUAAAUAAUGCUAUGUUAUUUUUAAGCUUAUAAUUUUUUUUGUAAGCUAUAAUG
rnacentral:lncRNA from 1 species